rnacentral:rRNA from 1 species
AUUGAACGCUGGCGGCAGGCCUAACACAUGCAAGUCGAGCGGAGCUGCGGACGGGUGAUUAAUGCCUAGGAAUCUGCCUGGUCGUGGGGGAUAACGUCCGGCAACGGGCGCUAAUACCUCAUACUUUCAGAUGAUCCUAGGUCGGAUUAGCUAGUUGGUGGGGUAAAGGCCUACCAAGGCGACGAUACGUAACUGAUCUGCGAGGAUGAUCAGUCACACUGGAACUGAGAAACGGUUCAGACUCCUACGGGAGGCAGAAGUGGGGAAUAUUGGACAAUGGGCGAAAGCCUGAUCCAGCCAUGCCGCGUGUGUGAAGAAGGUCUUCGGAUUGUAAAGCACUUUAAGUUGGGAGGCGUUACCAACAGAAUAAGCACCGGCUAACUUCGUGCCAGCAGCCGCGGUAAUUC